rnacentral:lncRNA from 1 species
CGCACUCAAGUGAGGAAUGGGGAAGGAGGGUGGAGGAAGGAGCUUGUAAAUGAGCAGCUGGUUUGCAGCAAAACCGCACCUCACUCUGCACCUUUGGAUCCCUCUCAGCCUGAGGUUAGCACAGCCAAUGUCCUCACCAGCGUCUGCCAAAGCCCAUGGAGAAGGCCAGCAGGAGCAUAUCACUGUGACUUACAACCCUUCUCUAGUCUGCUACAAUGGAAUCUUAAACAAGAAAAUUUUAUAUUUUGACUUGCAUCAUUGAGAAAAACACUGCCAACCUGAUCGUGGUUCCUUUGAAGAAUCACUGCAGCAGGUGCGAGAGAGGACUCAUGGAGCUUGCAGAUGAGCUAGCCCAGGUAGGACAUCUGAUGUUGGGACCCUCUUCAGAAGUGAAGCAUAUAUAAUCCCACAUGAAAUCUCUCAAGCCAUUCCAGAAGAAUGUUUUCUCAGAUAAAGAUGGGGAAAUUGAGCCUCAGAGUGAUAAAGUAACUUCCCCAAAGUCAUGUAGCUAGUAAAUGAAAGUGAUGAGACUCACACUAGGUUCUUCUAAGUUUUUAGAGUACUUCGUCCACGGCGCCAAGGUGUCUAGGGCAGAGACACCACAACCUCCUAAGGUAGGUUAUGCCAUUAAUGUUCCACUUGGGUGGGAAUACACACACACCCACACACACACUAUAAUUCACACUUCCUUAUAGUUAUAUUCCUCAUUCUUUGAACUUAAUCCAUGGUAAAGAAUUAUUUAUUAUGGUGGGGUAGAAGGAGACCCUUUGAGAUUUGAAGACACUGAUUAACCAUGUUAGUGUUUUUCCUCAGGCAAAAUAUUCAUGGGCUCUUUUACCAUAACUUGCUGUCCUUAUUUCCUCAUUAAAUUUCAAGUUUCCACAAAAUAAGAAAAGAAACAACUAAAGAAGAAAUUGUUGGAAGGCAUGGAGCAAAGUGUAAGAACAACUAAGUAAACAUGUACAUUUUGCAUUUUUAAAAAAUUCAGUGGCCAUAAUACCACUGGCCAACAGGCUGAUCAAAUAAUCCCUGAAACAAAGAGUUAUAUGUUACGGAGGGGAUUGAAUCAGAAUACAGAAAAGAGAGACUUGAGAGGUUAAGACAAAACAUCCUGGGAAAUACACCUAUUAAAAUAUGGUAACUAGCUGUUCUCCAUUUCUUUCAAGACAGAAUGGGAAAUGGAGGUAAACACAGCAAGAGUAUUAGUCGGUUAGACAACAGGAAUAUUUUGCUGAUUUUUGUUGUUGUUGUUUUGUUUUUGUUUUUGUUUUUGAGACAGUGUCUUGCUGCGACACCCA